rnacentral:rRNA from 1 species
CGUGUAGGCGGACCACCAAGUCAGGCGUGAAAUCCCUGGGCUCAACCCAGGAACUGCACCUGAAACUGGCGGUCUUGAGUGGUGGAGAGGGAAGCAGAAUUCCUGGUGUAGAGGUGAAAUUCGUAGAUAUCAGGAGGAACACCGGUGGCGAAGGCGGCUUCCUGGACACUAACUGACGCUGAGACGCGAAAGCGUGGGGAGCAAACA